AUUGCCCCAGUAACGGCGAGUGAAGCGGCAACAGCUCAAAUUUGAAAUCCUGGCCCCUAGGGCCCGAGUUGUAAUUUGCAGAGGAUGCUUUUGGCGAGGUGCCUUCCGAGUUCCCUGGAACGGGACGCCAUAGAGGGUGAGAGCCCCGUCUGGUUGGAUGCCGAGCCUCUGUAAAGCUCCUUCGACGAGUCGAGUAGUUUGGGAAUGCUGCUCUAAAUGGGAGGUAUAUGUCUUCUAAAGCUAAAUACCGGCCAGAGACCGAUAGCGCACAAGUAGAGUGAUCGAAAGAUGAAAAGCACUUUGAAAAGAGGGUUAAAUAGUACGUGAAAUUGUUGAAAGGGAAGCGCUUAUGACCAGACUUGGACCCGGUGAAUCAUCCAGCGUUCUCGCUGGUGCACUUUGCCGGGCUCAGGCCAGCAUCAGUUUGCCUCGGGGGAUAAAGGCUUUGGGAAUGUGGCUCCCUCGGGAGUGUUAUAGCCCAUUGCACAAUACCCUGGGGCGGACUGAGGUUCGCGCAUCUGCAAGGAUGCUGGCGUAAUGGUCAUCAGCGACCCGUCUUGAAACACGGACCAAGGAGUCGUCUUCGUAUGCGAGUGUUCGGGUGUAAAACCCCCUACGCGUAAUGAAAGUGAACGCAGGUGAGAGCUUCGGCGCAUCAUCGACCGAUCCUGAUGUUCUCGGAUGGAUUUGAGUAAGAGCAUACGGGGCCGGACCCGAAAGAAGGUGAACUAUGCCUGUAUAGGGUGAAGCCAGAGGAAACUCUGGUGGAGGCUCGCAGCGGUUCUGACGUGCAAAUCGAUCGUCAAAUAUGGGCAUGGGGGCGAAAGACUAAUCGAACCUUCUAGUAGCUGGUUUC
rnacentral:rRNA from 1 species